CUCUGCUACUGCGCUUCCGCGGAGCGCCGUGGACGCCCCGGGGCGGGGGUGACGCCAACCGCCCACCCGGCCGGGCCGGGCGGGGCGGGUCUCUGGGGGGAGCGCCCUCACCACCCCUGCCGGGGGCCACCACGCUCUCGCGAAGCUAGUCAGCCGCUGCGUCCGCUCAGAGGAAAGUGCGGGACGCCUCGCCUGCCAGCGGGUGCCCAGCCCCACCUCGCCCCGCGCCCGGGCUGUCUGAUGGCGCCGCCCCAGGCGCUGAACUCGGCCAGCCUGGUCCACCACCGGCCUUUCCCGACCGGCAGCCCCGCCCCUCCACGACCCAGCGGGGCAUCACCUCCUGGCGUGGUCCUCCACUGACCCACCCCCGGCCCCGGGACAGGGCACUUUGCCGUGUUUUCUGCCUGGGUCUGAAGUUGUUCGUGUUGGAGCAUUUUCACAGAACACGUAGUGGAUUACUCAGGACAUGAGGCAGAAGCAGCGGUGAGCACAGGGUGCCUCGUAUGCCGGAGCUGAAGGGUGGCGGUCCUGAGGUCUGGGACAGCAACCCGGGCAGGCGAAGAGGAGGGGCACACAGGAAAUACAAUGGGCAACAUACUGAACAUCGUUGAAGCUGCAUGCUGGGAAAAUCGAGUUCAUUAUACUGUUUUCUCUACUUUAGUGUAUGCUUAAAAAUUUCCAUAAUACAUGUUUAAAAACUAAAAGCACAAAACUAACCACUCAGUGAGAUACUAUUCUCCACCUCUCAAAAUGGCUAUAAAAAAGAUCACUAACACCAAAAGUGGUCCAGAUGUGGCACUCUGAGAACUCUCGAGCAAACCAAAUCCGUUUAGGAGACAAACGCUGUUUAUAGUGAAGCCUGCAUUUUAAAACAUGGAUUGGAUAGAAACUUUAUGGGUUUUUUAUCUAUGCCACAGCCUAAAUCUUUUCAUGCCUGGACAAACGCUCGUGUUUAAAUCACGUGUACAUUUAUUUGGAGAUGAUUUUCCUCUGUGUGUGUGUGUGUGUGUGUGUAAAACUGAUCACAAAAUUCAAGUCCUCUCAUCCUUUCUAGAUGUGAUUAAUUUGGCUUAGACUACAAACGGUAUAAGACUAGCCCCAAACUUGUGAUGGGCGGGCAACUUUGAUGUAAUUGUGACCUGAGCAACACAAACCCUUGUCACCACAGUGUAGACAUCAUAGACGUCCAUGUACCACUGUAUACACUGGAGAUCUCUAUAUUAACUUAACACUUAGGACCUGCAUACACAGGAAGAGUUCAUAGGUCUCAGCUCUGAGCGAUGGACGUUUUCAUGUUUUUUAGUUCAUUUACUUAAAAUGUAAUGGGUCACCAGCAGUUCACGGAAUUUGUUUUCUAUUGAAAGAAUGUUGCCUAAGAAAUAAAGGGGAUGGAGUCCAAUGCUGGACUAUGACAACUCUAAAGUUCUUGUAUAAUUACAGUACAUUACAACCAAUCGAGAGCUGACAAUUUACGUUGAACUGUCAAGUUAAAAUAUCUUUGAGCUCAGUAGUUAUGACUUGUUUCUAAUCUUCUAACACUGUGUAUACAGGUUUCAUUUUCACAAUCUUAAAAAAUGUGCAUAAGAUCACUAGAAUGUUAUCUUUAAAAACAUGUUGAAAUAAAGCACAGAAGAGUGAAAACACAGCUAUAGAUAUGGAUACAGAGACAGAUAAAGAUGUAGAUAAGAUAUGGAGAUGGAGAUGGGGACGGCGUGGGGAUGGGGAUGAAGAUGGAGGGAGACACAGAGAGAGACAGAGUCCGAGGGGAGGACGGACUGAAAACCCACGUGACCACUGCCUAGAUCCAGACCCCGAGCAGAGCAAGAAGCCCGAAACUCCCGCUGUGAUUUGUCCAAUCACGACGACCUCCCUUCUCACGAAAAGUAACCGCAAUGCACAUUUAUAACACCAGUUUGUUUGCCUGGUUUGUUACUUUAUAUAAAUAGAAUCAUACUGUAUAUAUUC